AGAGGUCCCAAGCGUUGUUCGGAUUCACUGGGCGUAAAGGGUGCGUAGGCGGUCGGGUAAGUCUGACGUGAAAUCUUCAAGCUUAACUUGGAACCUGCGUCGGAUACUAUUCGGCUAGAGGAAUGGAGGGGAGACUGGAAUACUUGGUGUAGCAGUGAAAUGCGUAGAUAUCAAGUGGAACACCAGUGGCGAAGGCGAGUCUCUGGACAUUUCCUGACGCUGAGGCACGAAAGCCAGGGGAGCAAACGGGGUUAGAUACCCCGGUAGUCCUGGCCCUAAACGGUGCGCAUUUGCUGUAAGAGGAAUCGACCCCUUUUGUGGCGAAGCUAACGCGAUAAAUGCGCCGCCUGGGAAGUACGGCCGCAAGGUUA
rnacentral:rRNA from 1 species